AUUCGUGCUGUUAGCUAGAAAUGGAGCAUGAAGAUCAAAGAUUUGGUAAAGUAUAAAUCACAAUAGGCAUUAUUACGUACACCCGUUCUUUUCUAGAUGACAUCAGAGAUGUGACGUCUUGAAGUGGUGAUGACGCAACAGAAGAACCCACUUCAACCUGGUAUGUGACGUCACAGAGGAUCCAGAAGACAAACUGCAAAUAAGGAAAAAAACGAAGAGCAGAGACGAAGACGACGAAAAAAGCUGGUUUGAGGUUUUGCUUAGGCUUAGGAGUUGUGUUGUUGGGGUGUGGUUGCUGGAGCACUCUUACAGUGUUGCCGGAUUUGUGUUUGUCUCUCAUUUUUGCUGGACCUAAUGUGGCCAGCCUUUUUGUCAGUCACUACUUUAGUGCAUUUUGCAUGUCACUGAAAUAUAUUCAAUGAAACUAUGGCAAACAUCUUGCUGGAUCGGAUUCUGUUGUUGUACACGUCAUUAUGUGUUUCGUCUGCAAAGGUCGAACUCUUUAGCGAUUCUGCAUUUUCCUAAUCACUUGAUAAGAACGGCAUGUUGGUACACAAAUACUUGAGUAAUAUCCACGCGCAUUAUAAUAUA